rnacentral:rRNA from 1 species
AUUGAACGCUGGCGGUAGGCCUAACACAUGCAAGUCGAACGGCUGAACGGUGCUUGCUUCUGGUUUCAGCUGCCGACGGGCGGGUAAUGCCUAGGUACCUCCCUGUCUGCGGUUGCUAACGUGCGGAAACGGGCGCUAAUACCGCAUUCGUCCAUACGGCCUACGUGGGGGAUCUUCGGACCUCCCGCCCUCACAUGAUCCUAGGUCGGAUUAGCUAGUUGGUGGGGUAAAGGCCUACCAAGGCGACGAUCCGUAACUGGUCUGAGAGGAUGAUCAGUCACACUGGAACUGAGACACGGUCCAGACUCCUACGGGAGGCAGCAGUGGGGAAUAUUGGACAAUGGGCGAAAGCCUGAUCCAGCCAUGCCGCGUGUGUGAAGAAGGUCUUCGGGUUGUAAAGCACUUUUGGUUGGGAGGAAGAGCAGUAAGUUAAUACCUUGCUGUUUUGACGGUACCAACAGAAUAAGCACCGGCUAACUUCGUG